UUAUGUAUAUGAUGACUGCAUAGUUCACCUGAUUUGUUAUGAUGAACAAUAGUAUGUGUUCCGCUGUCUGAGUACAUAU